GGGUUGUGAGGUUAAGCGACUAAGCGUACACGGUGGAUGCCCUGGCAGUCAGAGGCGAUGAAGGACGUGCUAAUCUGCGAUAAGCGUCGGUAAGGUGAUAUGAACCGUUAUAACCGGCGAUUUCCGAAUGGGGAAACCCAGUGUGAUUCGUCACACUAUCAUUAACUGAAUCCAUAGGUUAAUGAGGCGAACCGGGGGAACUGAAACAUCUAAGUACCCCGAGGAAAAGAAAUCAACCGAGAUUCCCCCAGUAGCGGCGAGCGAACGGGGAGCAGCCCAGAGCCUGAAUCAGUGUGUGUGUUAGUGGAAGCGUCUGGAAAGGCGCGCGAUACAGGGUGACAGCCCCGUACACAAAAAUGCACAUGCUGUGAGCUCGAUGAGUAGGGCGGGACACGUGGUAUCCUGUCUGAAUAUGGGGGGACCAUCCUCCAAGGCUAAAUACUCCUGACUGACCGAUAGUGAACCAGUACCGUGAGGGAAAGGCGAAAAGAACCCCGGCGAGGGGAGUGAAAAAGAACCUGAAACCGUGUACGUACAAGCAGUGGGAGCACGCUUAGGCGUGUGACUGCGUACCUUUUGUAUAAUGGGUCAGCGACUUAUAUUCUGUAGCAAGGUUAACCGAAUAGGGGAGCCGAAGGGAAACCGAGUCUUAACUGGGCGUUAAGUUGCAGGGUAUAGACCCGAAACCCGGUGAUCUAGCCAUGGGCAGGUUGAAGGUUGGGUAACACUAACUGGAGGACCGAACCGACUAAUGUUGAAAAAUUAGCGGAUGACUUGUGGCUGGGGGUGAAAGGCCAAUCAAACCGGGAGAUAGCUGGUUCUCCCCGAAAGCUAUUUAGGUAGCGCCUCGUGAAUUCAUCUCCGGGGGUAGAGCACUGUUUCGGCAAGGGGGUCAUCCCGACUUACCAACCCGAUGCAAACUGCGAAUACCGGAGAAUGUUAUCACGGGAGACACACGGCGGGUGCUAACGUCCGUCGUGAAGAGGGAAACAACCCAGACCGCCAGCUAAGGUCCCAAAGUCAUGGUUAAGUGGGAAACGAUGUGGGAAGGCCCAGACAGCCAGGAUGUUGGCUUAGAAGCAGCCAUCAUUUAAAGAAAGCGUAAUAGCUCACUGGUCGAGUCGGCCUGCGCGGAAGAUGUAACGGGGCUAAACCAUGCACCGAAGCUGCGGCAGCGACACUGUGUGUUGUUGGGUAGGGGAGCGUUCUGUAAGCCUGCGAAGGUGUGCUGUGAGGCAUGCUGGAGGUAUCAGAAGUGCGAAUGCUGACAUAAGUAACGAUAAAGCGGGUGAAAAGCCCGCUCGCCGGAAGACCAAGGGUUCCUGUCCAACGUUAAUCGGGGCAGGGUGAGUCGACCCCUAAGGCGAGGCCGAAAGGCGUAGUCGAUGGGAAACAGGUUAAUAUUCCUGUACUUGGUGUUACUGCGAAGGGGGGACGGAGAAGGCUAUGUUGGCCGGGCGACGGUUGUCCCGGUUUAAGCGUGUAGGCUGGUUUUCCAGGCAAAUCCGGAAAAUCAAGGCUGAGGCGUGAUGACGAGGCACUACGGUGCUGAAGCAACAAAUGCCCUGCUUCCAGGAAAAGCCUCUAAGCAUCAGGUAACAUCAAAUCGUACCCCAAACCGACACAGGUGGUCAGGUAGAGAAUACCAAGGCGCUUGAGAGAACUCGGGUGAAGGAACUAGGCAAAAUGGUGCCGUAACUUCGGGAGAAGGCACGCUGAUAUGUAGGUGAAGUCCCUCGCGGAUGGAGCUGAAAUCAGUCGAAGAUACCAGCUGGCUGCAACUGUUUAUUAAAAACACAGCACUGUGCAAACACGAAAGUGGACGUAUACGGUGUGACGCCUGCCCGGUGCCGGAAGGUUAAUUGAUGGGGUUAGCGCAAGCGAAGCUCUUGAUCGAAGCCCCGGUAAACGGCGGCCGUAACUAUAACGGUCCUAAGGUAGCGAAAUUCCUUGUCGGGUAAGUUCCGACCUGCACGAAUGGCGUAAUGAUGGCCAGGCUGUCUCCACCCGAGACUCAGUGAAAUUGAACUCGCUGUGAAGAUGCAGUGUACCCGCGGCAAGACGGAAAGACCCCGUGAACCUUUACUAUAGCUUGACACUGAACAUUGAGCCUUGAUGUGUAGGAUAGGUGGGAGGCUUUGAAGUGUGGACGCCAGUCUGCAUGGAGCCGACCUUGAAAUACCACCCUUUAAUGUUUGAUGUUCUAACGUUGACCCGUAAUCCGGGUUGCGGACAGUGUCUGGUGGGUAGUUUGACUGGGGCGGUCUCCUCCUAAAGAGUAACGGAGGAGCACGAAGGUUGGCUAAUCCUGGUCGGACAUCAGGAGGUUAGUGCAAUGGCAUAAGCCAGCUUGACUGCGAGCGUGACGGCGCGAGCAGGUGCGAAAGCAGGUCAUAGUGAUCCGGUGGUUCUGAAUGGAAGGGCCAUCGCUCAACGGAUAAAAGGUACUCCGGGGAUAACAGGCUGAUACCGCCCAAGAGUUCAUAUCGACGGCGGUGUUUGGCACCUCGAUGUCGGCUCAUCACAUCCUGGGGCUGAAGUAGGUCCCAAGGGUAUGGCUGUUCGCCAUUUAAAGUGGUACGCGAGCUGGGUUUAGAACGUCGUGAGACAGUUCGGUCCCUAUCUGCCGUGGGCGCUGGAGAACUGAGGGGGGCUGCUCCUAGUACGAGAGGACCGGAGUGGACGCAUCACUGGUGUUCGGGUUGUCAUGCCAAUGGCACUGCCCGGUAGCUAAAUGCGGAAGAGAUAAGUGCUGAAAGCAUCUAAGCACGAAACUUGCCCCGAGAUGAGUUCUCCCUGACUCCUUGAGAGUCCUGAAGGAACGUUGAAGACGACGACGUUGAUAGGCCGGGUGUGUAAGCGCAGCGAUGCGUUGAGCUAACCGGUACUAAUGAACCGUGAGGCUUAACCUUACAACGCCGAAGGUGUUU
rnacentral:rRNA from 1 species